rnacentral:rRNA from 1 species
GAUGAACGCUGGCGGCGUGCCUAAUACAUGCAAGUCGAGCGAACGGACGAGAAGCUUGCUUUUCUGAUGUUAGCGGCGGACGGGUGAGUAACACGUGGAUAACCUACCUAUAAGACUGGGAUAACUUCGGGGAACCGGAGCUAAUACCGGAUAAUAUUUUGAACCGCAUGGUUCAAAAGUGAAAGACGGUCUUGCUGUCACUUAUAGAUGGAUCCGCGCUGCAUUAGCUAGUUGGUAAGGUAACGGCUUACCAAGGCAACGAUGCAUAGCCGACCUGAGAGGGUGAUCGGCCACACUGGAACUGAGACACGGUCCAGACUCCUACGGGAGGCAGCAGUAGGGAAUCUUCCGCAAUGGGCGAAAGCCUGACGGAGCAACGCCGCGUGAGUGAUGAAGGUCUUCGGAUCGUAAAACUCUGUUAUUAGGGAAGAACAUAUGUGUAAGUAACUGUGCACAUCUUGACGGUACCUAAUCAGAAAGCCACGGCUAACUACGUG